GCGUGCCGUGCACAGGAUUGCAGUCGACCGCGCGUCAGGCGUCAAUCGGCCAGAGCGGCGCCAGCCCGCCCGCCCUCCUUUGCAAAGUGAGCCGCAGAGUCGAGGGUCGCUGCUGCUGCUGCCGCUGCCCGGUUCCUUUUUUAACUCAGAGGGGAGUUCCAUGGCGGCGGGACUUACACCUAAGCAACUGCGCCUGCGCCUCAGCCCGAUCCGGUGUCUGCUUACUCACGAUUAAACCUCACUUAAUUCAGCGGGACUGACUGCUGAGUUAUCACGCAGGGGCUUAUAACCCGAUCCUCACUACGUUUGCUCAGGAGUCAGUUCCACCACAACAAGUCCUGCCAAAUUUGGCGGCGAUGGUGGGUGGCAACGGUUACAAACUGCGUUGGUGCUGGCUAAACCAACGAGCCAGCAAAACGGGGGAACUACAGACCAGAGCGAAGCCGCAGUAGUGGCAGCCGCCAUUGGACACGACCAUUUAUUUUCCCUUAAGGUGGCUCCACCAGCGAGGAGCAGAGGCGGCGCGCGCGCUUCUGCUUGCAUGACCUUCCUCGUCGCCCAUUGGCUCAGGCGUCCAAUUUGAAUUUAAGCCACUUACUACCGUACGGUCCUCGCCGAAGCCCCCCACCGCGCCUUUGUUGUGGUGAUGCUGUUGCUCAUAGAGAUAAGAAAGGGGGAAAACAACCCAGUUAAUCCAUUUCGUGAUCUUGAUGGGGGUUUCCCGAGUUUACGUUUGAGAACUGAGUUGUAAAUGCCUCCCAGGCCGGAAGUAAGAGCGGCUCACAGAAACCAGGAUUUAGACGGCGCUCGUUUCCACCCCAAGCAGAAAACGUCUACAGAAUCGGAAGCCGGUCCUACAUGUCACUCUAGCGAUUACAAGUCUAUGGCCGAAGAAAAGAUCCCGCCUGCCUUUUUCUUUCUCUCUCUGCUACGCUUCUGUUCCGUAUACUCCGACUAACCAAAGGGAGAGAAAAGCCAGCUGCGUAUAAAAUUUCCAGCAACUAUUUUUAUCUGUUUAGUUCUUACGAUCAGUUGCAACAUAUCGAAAAAGGAAUGUCCAAGGGCUACUGAUAGACUUCUAGGGAGGGCCUUUGAACUCCAGAACAGUUUCAAUUUGUGGCAAGAGUAUAAGCAAAAACAGCAAAGAAUCUAGUCACACCUUAAAUGCAAUGUAUCGUGAUAUAAGCUUUCAUGGCAUAGAGCCCACUGCAUCCUGCUUAGGAAGUUUACUCAGAAGCAAGUCCCGAUGACUUUAAUGGGAUCGACACUUCUCUAGCCAUGCAGUGUGUUUGCAUUUGUGCAACUCAAGUAGGACUUGCUUCCAAGUACAAUGGUGUUCACAUUUAAGUAAGAAUGCAUAGGAUUGCUGUUGUAGUUAAGUUACAGCUGGUUGUAAUUAUGUUUACUUAGAAGUAAAUAUUUGGUCAAGUCUCAUCCUAUGCACAUUCACUUAGGAGUAAGCAUGAUGAACAGUGCAUCGUCCUUCUGAGAGAAAAGGCUGUAAUUAUAUAAAUGUAUACUUUCCAUUGCUUUCCAUUUUUACAAAGAGCAGAGAAAUAAAAACCUCCCCUUGGGAAAUAAACCAGUA